AUUGAACGCUGGCGGCAGGCCUAACACAUGCAAGUCGAGCGCGAAAGUUCUUCGGAAUGAGUAAAGCGGCGGACGGGUGAGUAAUACAUGGGAAUCUGCCUGGUAGUGGGGGACAACGUUUCGAAAGGAACGCUUAUACCGCAUACGCCCUACGGGGGAAAGGGGGGGAGUCUUCGGACCUCUCGCUAUCAGAUGAGCCC
rnacentral:rRNA from 1 species